rnacentral:rRNA from 1 species
UGGGGAAUAUUGGACAAUGGGCGAAAGCCUGAUCCAGCCAUGCCGCGUGUGUGAAGAAGGUCUUCGGAUUGUAAAGCACUUUAAGUUGGGAGGAAGGGCAUUAACCUAAUACGUUAGUGUUUUGACGUUACCGACAGAAUAAGCACCGGCUAACUCUGUGCCAGCAGCCGCGGUAAUACAGAGGGUGCAAGCGUUAAUCGGAAUUACUGGGCGUAAAACGCGCGUAGGUGGUUUGUUAAGUUGGAUGUGAAAUCCCCGGGCUCAACCUGGGAACUGCAUUCAAAACUGACUGACUAGAGUAUGGUAGAGGGUGGUGGAAUUUCCUGUGUAGCGGUGAAAUGCGUAGAUAUAGGAAGGAACACCAGUGGCGAAGGCGACCACCUGGACUAAUACUGACACUGAGGUGCGAAAGCGUGGGGAGCAAACA